AGGGCUGGAAGAGGUGCGUUAUUCAGGUAGCGUAUGGGAAGAGCACAGACUCUGUUGAUCAUACGUGAGGGGAAAUUAACGCCGAGAAGUAACACCGUUUGUGAGGUGCUUAUUUCGGGCGACUGGGCUGAAUCCCAGCGACUGUCACCAACAAUAGCAAUGCUAUUGAUAAGUUUGGUGGAGAGCUUCUGGUCUU
rnacentral:ncRNA from 2 species